rnacentral:lncRNA from 1 species
ACUGUUGCACUUAGAAAAGGUUGUCGGAAUCUUACGUUGAAGAGGUGCAAUGUUGCUUAUUUAUUGUCCUUCCCAAAAUGUUUACCAUUUCCACUUUUUCUUUCAAGGCUUUUGUCCUCUUCUCUCUUUUCGUAGAGGCAACCUAUUUAUUACACUGUUACAUUUAUCUUCCAUGAAUCACGCUCCAUACUUAUUUUCUCAAUAAAAAAACAUCACGGACUUUCCACGAACCUUCACAAACCCACA